rnacentral:rRNA from 1 species
GACGAACGCUGGCGGCGUGCCUAAUACAUGCAAGUAGAACGCUGAAGAGAGGAGCUUGCUCUUCUUGGAUGAGUUGCGAACGGGUGAGUAACGCGUAGGUAACCUGCCUUGUAGCGGGGGAUAACUAUUGGAAACGAUAGCUAAUACCGCAUAACAAUGGAUGACACAUGUCAUUUAUUUGAAAGGGGCAAUUGCUCCACUACAAGAUGGACCUGCGUUGUAUUAGCUAGUAGGUGAGGUAAUGGCUCACCUAGGCGACGAUACAUAGCCGACCUGAGAGGGUGAUCGGCCACACUGGGACUGAGACACGGCCCAGACUCCUACGGGAGGCAGCAGUAGGGAAUCUUCGGCAAUGGGGGCAACCCUGACCGAGCAACGCCGCGUGAGUGAAGAAGGUUUUCGGAUCGUAAAGCUCUGUUGUAAGUCAAGAACGGGUGUGAGAGUGGA